GCCAGAGUGGUGGGGAAAAGUCUGCAAGAGAAUUUCUUUGAACUUGACCGUUUCUCUCCAAGGCUGAUGGACCUCCUUUAGGAAAAAAGAAAGGCCUGCCCAGCGAGCUUUUGGCUGAACUUUACGUCAGACAAAGACCACUGAGCCAACACACAUCAGGUGCCUAUGUCUUCGGGGACUGCCUGUCAUCUUGGCGGAUGAUUCUUCUGCCUUCUUCAAGACAUGCUCUGAUGUAACUGACAAGAACUCGUACAGUUAAACUCCAGUGGGAAUUCUCUGCCUGGGUUGAGAAAAUACCCAGCUCAACCCAUUCAGUGUAGGGAUCAUCUUGGAAGGGUCUGUGGUAAUGGAUGAACUGGCCAACCUGCCUCAGGCCUUUUGUGUCCUUUUCGUUUGACACACACAGCCGUUUCGGGUUGAUCUACGCCCUGCACCUGGACUACCCCAUGUGCAUGAAAAACACUUUCAACUUUACUCAGCAGGUAAUGCUCAAACUGGGUAGAAGUGAGCUGGAAGCGUAAAACGGGGUUCAAAAUGGCUUUACUACUGCUCCAGAUUUGUUUGCCCCAGUUUGUAAUGUUGGACUUUUGUGUUGUAUAUGGCUUGGGGUAUAUAUACAUGUGUCCUAUGGUAUUUGUACUGAUUUUUGCGCAAUAUUCCAUGACAGACAGGCUCUGAUUACAUUUAAUUCAAAUGAGUUGGAUAUUUUGUGUGUUACUUUUGUGUGAGUAAUAAAGAUCCUUUUCUGAAAUGCAA